CGGCGUGCUUAACACAUGCAAGUCGAACGGAAAGGCCCUGCUUUUGUGGGGUGCUCGAGUGGCGAACGGGUGAGUAACACGUGAGUAACCUGCCCUUGACUUUGGGAUAACUUCAGGAAACUGGGGCUAAUACCGGAUAGGAGCUCCUGCUGCAUGGUGGGGGUUGGAAAGUUUCGGCGGUUGGGGAUGGACUCGCGGCUUAUCAGCUUGUUGGUGGGGUAGUGGCUUACCAAGGCUUUGACGGGUAGCCGGCCUGAGAGGGUGACCGGCCACAUUGGGACUGAGAUACGGCCCAGACUCCUACGGGAGGCAGCAGUGGGGAAUAUUGCACAAUGGGCGGAAGCCUGAUGCAGCAACGCCUCGUGCGGGAUGACGG
rnacentral:rRNA from 1 species